rnacentral:rRNA from 1 species
UACGUAGGGGGCAAGCGUUGUCCGGAUUUAUUGGGCGUAAAGAGCGUGUAGGCGGCUUGGUAGGUCCGCUGUGAAAACUCGAGGCUCAACUUCGAGCUGUCGGUGGAAACUUUCUGGCUAGAGUCCGGAAGAGGAGAGUGGAAUUCCUGGUGUAGCGGUGAAAUGCGCAGAUAUCAGGAAGAACACCCGUGGCGAAGGCGGCUCUCUGGGACGGUACUGACGCUGAGACGCGAAAGCGUGGGGAGCGAACAGG